ACUUCCAGAUUCAGAGUGCCAUUGUCCAGUGCCCAGCACUUCCGCGUUCAGAGCUGCCAGGAUUCCAGGUUCCGGUACUACCAGGUCUAGGGCUCCCAGGGUUUUGGUUUCCAGUACUUCCAGUUCCAGAGCUCCCAGAGUUCCAGCUUCCAGUACUUCCAGGUCCAGAGCUCCCAGAGUUCCAGCUUCCAGCACUGCUAGGGUUCCUGGGGCUUUCCGUCUCUGAUCCGGUUCCAUAAGAGGUGGAGCCUCCUCGAGUAAUCUCAUUUCCACCAGG
rnacentral:lncRNA from 1 species